rnacentral:rRNA from 1 species
AGUGAACGCUGGCGGUAGGCCUAACACAUGCAAGUCGAACGGCAGCACAGUAAGAGCUUGCUCUUACGGGUGGCGAGUGGCGGACGGGUGAGGAAUACAUCGGAAUCUACUUUUUCGCGGGGGAUAACGUAGGGAAACUUACGCUAAUACCGCAUACGACCUACGGGUGAAAGCAGGGGAUCUUCGGACCUUGCGCGAUUGUAUGAGCCGAUGUCGGAUUAGCUAGUUGGCGGGGUAAAGGCCCACCAAGGCGACGAUCCGUAGCUGGUCUGAGAGGAUGAUCAGCCACACUGGAACUGAGACACGGUCCAGACUCCUACGGGAGGCAGCAGUGGGGAAUAUUGGACAAUGGGCGCAAGCCUGAUCCAGCCAUGCCGCGUGGGUGAAGAAGGCCUUCGGGUUGUAAAGCCCUUUUGUUGGGAAAGAAAAGCAGCAGGUUAAUACCCCGCUGUUCUGACGGUACCCAAAGAAUAAGCACCGGCUAACUUCGUG